AUUAUUAUUAAUGUAAAGUUUAUCAAAUUAGUAUUAGUUAUUUUCUUUAAAAUUAAAAAAUUUGGCGGUAUUUUAGUCUAUUCAGAGGAACCUGUUCUAUAAUUGAUAAUCCACAAUUAGAUUUACUUAAAUUAGAAGUUUGUAUAUCGUCGUUAUAAGAAAAUUUUUUAAGAAUUUUAAAUUUUUAAUUUUUAUUAUAAUUAAAUAUAUCAGAUCAAGGUGCAGUUAAUAUUUAAGAAGAAAUGGGUUACAAUAAAAUUAUUUAUAUGAAUUUAAUAUUUAAAAUAUUUUUGAAGGUGGAUUUGAUAGUAAUAAAUUUUAUCUAUUAUUUAUGAUUAUAGCUCUAAAAUAUGU
rnacentral:rRNA from 1 species